rnacentral:rRNA from 1 species
UACGGGGGGGGUAAGCGUUGUUCGGAAUUACUGGGCGUAAAGCGCACGUAGGCGGAUCGUUAAGUCGGGGGUGAAAUCCUGGAGCUCAACUCCAGAACUGCCUUCGAUACUGGCGAUCUCGAGUCCGGAAGAGGUGAGUGGAACUCCUAGUGUAGAGGUGGAAUUCGUAGAUAUUAGGAAGAACACCAGUGGCGAAGGCGGCUCACUGGUCCGGUACUGACGCUGAUGUGCGAAAGCGUGGGGAGCAAACAGG